rnacentral:rRNA from 1 species
UCCGGUUGACUGCCGGAGGCUACCGCUAUAGGAGUUCGAUUAAGCCAUGCGAGUCGCGAGAAAUUAGAUUCUCGGCGUACCGCUCAGUAACACGUGGGUAACCUGCCCUAUGCUGGAUAAUAACCUACGGGAAACUGAGAAUAGUGAUCCAUAGUUCACUACGCCUGGAACGGUGAGUGGAUGAAAGCUCCGGCGGCAUAGGAUGGGCCUGCGGCGUAUCAGGUUGUAGGGGGUGUAACGUACCCUCUAGCCCUCUACGCGUACGGGUGUUGGGAGACAUAGCCCGGAGAUGGAUUCUGAGACACGAAUCCAGACCCUACGGGGUGCAGCAGGCGCGAAAACUUGGCAAUGCGAGAAAUCGUGACCAGGGAACUCCAAGUGCAUCGGGUAAGACCGGUGCUUUUCUUGACUCUCAAUAGGUCUUGGAAUACGGGGUGGGUAAGGACGGUGCCAGCCGCCGAGGAAAUACCGGAGCCUCAAGUGGUAGUCGCUUAUAUUGGGCCUAAAUACGUCCGAAGACGGUCUGAUACAUUCGUGGGUAAAUCACACAGCUCAACUGGUUGAACUCUGCGAGGACGGACAGACUUGAGACCGGGAGAGGAGUGGAGUACGCUCAGGAUAGGGGUAAAACUG